CAGCCGCCACGGGAAUACGUAGGUGGCAAGCGUUGUCCAGAAUUAUUGGGCGUAAAGCGUGCGCAGGCGGUUAUAUAAGUCAGAUGUGAAAUCCCCGGGCUCAACCUGGGAACUGCAUUUGAGACUGUAUGGCUAGAGUGUGUCAGAGGGGGGUAGAAUUCCACGUGUAGCAGUGAAAUGCGUAGAAAUGUGGAGGAAUACCGACGGCGAAGGCAGCCCCCUGGGCCAAUACUGACGCUCAUGCACGAAAGCGUGGGGAGCAAACAGGAUUAGAUACCCGCGUAGUCCCUGUCUCUUAUAC
rnacentral:rRNA from 1 species